GUGUUAUCUGAUUCAUACUUUAACCAGCUCUAGGAAGUCACAGAAUCAUUCUGUCACUGUCCUCAUGUUACUGAAUACUGAUGUAUGUGAAGAAUACUGAUGUGCAGCUGGGCAUGGUGGUGCAUGCCUGUAAUAUCAGCCCUCCAGAGGCUGAGGCAGGAGAAUGGCAGUAAAGUUGAGGCCAGCUUGGGCUACAUAGUGGGUUCAAGGCCAGCCUGAACUACUAUAUAGUGAGAUCCUGUCUCAAAAUUAUAUAUAUAUAUAUACAUAUACAUACAUAUAUAUAUAUAUAUAUAUGUGCAGAAGGCUAAGGUAACUUAACUGAGAUCACAGAGCUAGGAAGUAAUGGCUGGGGUCUGGACCUGGAACCUGAUUCCAAAGUUCUGACAGUUCACCAGCACAUAGAAUUGCUUCUAGAGAGGUUUGUUCUGUUUAUCCAGGGAGAGACUGGCAAUUAUGGUCUCCCUCUGCUUUCAAGCAAGCAUUAGGAGACUGUCCUGGCUGUCUGGCUUCCUGGUCUUGUAUCUACUUUUUAAAUGAUUAUUUUAUUUACAUAUUCUUGGGUCAUGGCUGCCUGUAGCUCAGUUUCACAGGAUGGGAGAGAAUAUCCAUGAUAAUAAAUUUUCCAUCUGCCUUUCUCCAAAUGCCCUCCCUGCCCGAACCCUGUUAAAUUUUAGCAUAUUUCCCAGAGGUGGUCUUCAUGUUUAAAACUUAGAAAAAAUCCUUUUUUUUUUUUAGACAGGGUUUAUCUAUGUAGUUCGGGCUGGCCUUGAACUUAUUACUGUAUUUCCCAGAAAAUAACACCAGAAAAUGAGCUCUAGCAUGAUAUUUACAAUGCUUAUAAGCCCUACCCUAAAAAUAAACCCCACUUAAGAUUGUCAGCCAAGAGUAUGGAACAGCAGGAGAAUGGGGAAAAAAUAAGAACCAAGAUACAUCAGGUGCUGGUACAAAUUCCCAAUGAUGAAUGUCAACAUAUUGUAUACCUAAUAACAAUAAACUUAAUGAAAAAAAAAAGAUUGUCAGCCAGAUGGCUGCAUUUAGUUUGUCUGUUGCAACACAUGAUAUAUGUAUUGAAUUGUAAAAUAAUAAUAUUAAUAUAUAAUUAAAUAUAAGUAAAUAGUAUUAUUGACAAUAUUUUAAAUAAACGACAAUAUAAACUAUAAUUUGGGUAUUAGUAAAUGCCCAAGCAGGUGCCUUUGCAGAAGAGGUAAAUUCUUCUGUAAAUAGAUGAACAGGAGACUGAUUGCUGAAUGACCAAUCCAAGUAGAGAUACAAUGCAUGUAUAAUGUACACACUUGAUAACAGACAGAGUUGGUUGUGUCUAAAAUGAAUCUGCAUAAUUCGAUAUGGCAUGUGUUGUAAUGGAUUUGUGUGAAAUAAGGAAACAUUUUCUGAAUUUUUGUACCUGCCAUUUUUUGUCUCUUUUGUGUGGACAAUCAUUCUUAACUGUCAUCAUUUUUGUUGCCACUCCUAUCUCCUAAGUCUUCAAUUAACACUUGAUCUAAUGGAAACUUUGUGAAGCCCACCCUGCAGGAGGUUGAGACUUGGGUGAAGAAGUGAUAGAAUAAAAUUGCUGACAGCUACGUAACCAAUGCAUUAUAAGUGCACCACAUGGACAGAAGCAUUCAUGUUUGAUGUAAAAAUAAAAUGGGCAAGCAGAUGUGAAAGCUGUAAAAUGUGUUGCACCUGAGAAGAAAUAUUCUCCAAUUAGUAGUAAAGAAGACUCUGCCUUGCAGGCAACUGGGGAAAUGCCCACUCCCCUUUUGGGCCCCUCCACUGAAAUCUGGUAAUAAGUCAUAACAGCUCAAUCUUGUUGCUAUAUUUCACAUCCUAAAUUCAAGCUGACCUUCUGAGAAGGAUUGUAAGGUGAAUCAGGUUCAGCCUUGUUGUUUUACAGAUGAAGACUGAGGCCCAAGUUCUCAAGGCUGAGAAGUCCUAGAUCAAGGUGCCAGCAAAUUCAAUGUCCAGUAAGGACCAGUUUUCUGGGUCCUAAAAACCUCUUCUUGCUGCAUCCACAGGAGGUGAAGGGGAUGAGGAGAGCUCUGGUAUUUGUUUUGUAAAGAAACUGAUCCUAAACCCUCAUGACUCAGUUCCAUUUCAAAGGCCCCACCUUCUAAAUCUCAUAUUAGGGGUUGAAAUUUCAACAUAGAAAUUUGGUGAGGGGCAGGACAUGCAGGCAUUCAGUCUGCAAAAGUCAUGAGAGAAAAGCCAGUAAAGUUAGAGACCAAGCUUAAUUCCCAGCUGUGUGACUUGGGCCAAGCCAUAGAAAUUCUCUGAGUCUCAGGUUCUACUGAAAAUGGACUUGCAAGCAUGUAUAUUUAAAGGAUUAAAUUGACCAACAUGUAAAGAACUUAACACAUUAUUUGGCACUGAGUAAAUUUUUAAGGUAUUAGCUCAAAUAUAAGACAGGCAUAAUUAAGUAGGAAAAUAUGUGAUUUAGAGUUGUACAAUUUUUAAAUUUAGAAAAAAAAAGUACAAACUCUCUAAUCCAGUGUUUCUCCAAUAAUGGUCUGUGGAUUGCUGCCAGUUUUUGACAAUUUUUAUUUCCAGUCUGCAGCAAAAUAUAAAAACAGAAAGGCAGUGUAACGGGAAACUAUUCUUUCUUUGGUGUUCAGUGUCACUUUUUUUUUUUUUUUUUUUUUGUGUCACUUUUUCAAUGAGCUAAUGAAAGGCAGGUGG
rnacentral:lncRNA from 1 species